AAUGUCGUAACAAGGUUUCCGUAGGUGAACCUGCGGAAGGAUCAUUAUCGUGGGGAUUCGUCCCUAUCGAGAUAGCACCCUUUGUCUAUGAGUACCUUCUGUUUUCCCUCGGCGGGCUUUGCCCUGCCCAAUCGGAAGACCACAUAAAUCCCUUUUGGAACUAGCAGUAACUUCUGAUAACAAACAAAGUAUUAAAAG
rnacentral:misc_RNA from 1 species